GCUGGCGGCAGGCCUAACACAUGCAAGUCGAACGGGAUCUUCGGAUCUAGUGGCGGACGGGUUAGUAACGCGUGGGAACGUACCCUUUUCUACGGAAUAGCCUCGGGAAACUGAGAGUAAUACCGUAUACGCCCUUCGGGGGAAAGAUUUAUCGGAGAAGGAUCGGCCCGCGUAAGAUUAGAUAGUUGGUGGGGUAAUGGCCUACCAAGUCUACGAUCUUUAGCUGGUUUGAGAGGAUGAUCAGCAACACUGGGACUGAGACACGGCCCAGACUCCUACGGGAGGCAGCAGUGGGGAAUCUUAGACAAUGGGGGAAACCCUGAUCUAGCCAUGCCGCGUGAGUGACGAAGGCCUUAGGGUCGUAAAGCUCUUUCGCUGGGGAAGAUAAUGACUGUACCCAGUAAAGAAACCCCGGCUAACUCCGUGCCAGCAGCCGCGGUAAUAC
rnacentral:rRNA from 1 species